rnacentral:rRNA from 1 species
AGCAGCCGCGGUAAUUCCAGCUCCAAUAGCGUAUAUUAAAGUUGUUGCAGUUAAAAAGCUCGUAGUUGAAUUUCGGGGUUAGUAGAUUGGUCGUGCCUUCGGUAUGUACUGGUCUUACUGAUUCCUCCUUCCUGAUGAACCGUAAUGCCAUUAAUUUGGUGUUGCGGGGAAACUGGACUGUUACUUUGAAAAAAUUAGAGUGUUUAAAGCAGGCUAACGCUUGAAUACAUUAGCAUGGAAUAAUGAAAUAGGACGUUCGAUCUUAUUUUGUUGGUUUCUAGGAUUGACGUAAUGAUUAAUAGGGAUAGUUGGGGGCAUUAGUAUUCAAUUGUCAGAGGUGAAAUUCUUGGAUUUAUUGAAGACUAACUACUGCGAAAGCAUUUGCCAAGGAUGUUUUCAUUAAUCAAGAACGAAAGUUAGGGGAUCGAAGACGAUCAGAUACCGUCGUAGUCUUAACCAUAAACUAUGCCGACUAGGGAUCGGAUGAUGUUAAUUUUUAAUGUACUUCAUUCGGCGCCUU